CCUACGGGAGGCAGCAGUGGGGAAUAUUGGACAAUGGGCGAAAGCCUGAUCCAGCCAUGCGCGUGUGUGAAGAAGGCUUUCGGGUUGUAAAGCACUUUCAGUGGGGAAGAAAUCCUCGGGGCCAAUACCUCCGAGGGAGGACAUCACCCACAGAAGAAGCACCGGCUAACUCCGUGCCAGCAGCCGCG
rnacentral:rRNA from 1 species